GGGGACGCGCUGGAUGGGAGCAGGGGCUCAGACGCCAGCCUCCAAAUGGCACCUGCCCGUUGUCCCCCGACUGUUCGCCCGGCCUCUGCUUGGCUGGGAAGAGGGCAGGUGCGGGGCGUGUUGUACUUUUCACCGUUCCGCUGAAAUUGUCGUUGGGUGCAAGGUUUAAUCAACGACGUGCGCUCGCGCGUUUCCAACAACACAGGGCAAACUUUUUUUGACGCCCGGAUGCCGGGGGAGCCCGGGUGAAACUCAAGCAGCCUCCUUUUAAAGAAGCCUCUGGGGACUCUGGGGCAUAAGAGGCAAUGGCUAAUUUCUAAAUAACUGUGCAGGGAUCAGGGAGCGAGCUUUCUUUCCGCCACCAAGUUCGGCUCUCCUUUUACCCCCUCCAAAAAAAUGUGACUUGCUCUGGUCCUCGCAUCCCCUAGGCCCCUCCUUAAGGUUUUCUGCGCGGUCCCCGCCGCGGAGAAGGGUGCGUCUCCCGGACAUGGAAGACGCAGCAGCGAGACCUUCCUUUGUGCCUGCCCUUGGCUGUGAACUUUCCCGCGCGGUGGGUUCUCCUUUAAGAAAGUAGCGAUCUCUAUGAAUAUUUAAUGUCGAGCGCGGGCCGGCCGGGCGGAGGGGAGCCCGCGUCCAAGUCCCCGCAGCCGCGGUGGGGACCGGACGCUGGGGGCUCAGGCGCGCGGCCCGCCGCGUUCAUUUCCAUAAGAAAGCCGGCGUGGCGGCUGGAGGGAGGAUUCUGGCCCCUGCCGCCCUCCCCGCCCCACCCCCCAUAGCCGGCUUUCUGCUGGAAGCGGGCUGGCUCGGGAGCUCAGAGUCCCCAGUGUGCGCUCCUGUCUUUGAUGGUAUCGACAAAGUGUGGUUUCACGUGUUGCCCCAACUGAGGCCGGUUUCCUGUCUGUAUGCUGAGUAGAUGGAAGGACCGCGCUGGGCCUUUCUGCCUGCCUGGAGUCAUCUGGAGAGAAAUCAAGUGUGAGCACCUCUCCCGCAGAAAGUUCUGUAUGUUAUGUAACACCCUCACUCAGGGCUUCCUCGGGUUACCAGCGUGCUCUCAAUCAGCCAGCCCUCGGCUUUCUGGCUGGGGUGGGGUGGCGGUGGGGUGUCAGUGUGAUGUAAGUGGAGGUGGAGGCUUCAUUCCCAGGGGGCAUCCCCCCCCCCAAGCCCCAGUUCAAGGCCCAGGAACAAAGGGAUAGAAAGGGAACUGAUCUGUCCUUAGCUUUUCCCCUCCACCUGCAACCCCCCCUCCGCCUGCAUCUCCCCCACUUGCCCACUGACAGGGCCUCCUCUGAGAAACAGAGGAAAGCCUGUGGGCUCAGGUACCCAGGAAACACCCCCACCAUUGACACUCAGAAACCCCAUUUGAGGGGCAGGCUGCAGGCGGGGCAGGGCCACUACCUCUGCUCCCAAGUCUGGACCCAAGGCUACUUGCCUAGCAUCCUUUUCUUAUUAAAAACAUCCAGGACAACUAUUAAAUAGUUCUUGGGAGAGUUAAAGGCAUUGCUCCAGUUUGAAACAUUUCUAAAGCCCCGUUUGGAAGAAAUCUUGGAGGAGGACAAAAUGUCAUCAGUAGGCUUGGCUUCGCAAGUCUGAAAGGUUUCUCCCCACCCCCCAGAUGUUAAUGAAAAAUAGUUUGGAGAUGUUGUUUUGUUCACUGAUAGGUACCUCCCUGUUGUAGCCUACAGAUUCUCAAGGCCAAGCCAGUAAGGCAUUAUUUUCAUUUUGCUAGCUUCUGGGUGAUACUAUACUUUCCGAUUGAAUCUACUUAAUUUAGUUUAUUUAAAAAAAAAAACAAAAACAAAAAAACAAUGCUGCUGCAGAAUUUUCCAUCUUGGAAAUGUAAGUGAAAAACAGAGUUUCUCUCACCCAGGUUCCUAUAGGGGCAGAGUGGAAGGACCCUGGCGGGGCUCCCCUUUAUGCCUCGAAUUUGCCCCCCCUGAAGCCAGGGGACUGAAGGUGGUAGGUACUGGCACCUCUUACUUCAUUGCUGGUGCAGGGCGCGUCCUUUGAAAGGAAUCUCUAUUCUGUUUCAGUGCAAGGUUCCAGUCGACUAAAUGAGC
rnacentral:lncRNA from 1 species